UUCAUCUUACUAAAACAAAUUCUAUAGCUGUCUUGAUUUAUGAUUUGGCAAUGGAAAUCAGCUCAUAUGGUAACAACAGAAAGACAAGAAAGAAUAUGAUAGAUAAGAUCAACCUGAAAAGAAAAAAAAAGAAAAAAAGAUAUACUGGAUGUAAAGCACUUUGUGCAAGCAAAUGGCAAAAGGGAAUAUAAAUCAAAGAUUAGGUUUUUCUUUUCUUUUCCUUUCAUAGCUCUCCGUAAAUUGUUUCACUUCAAACUCAUCUCUAACAUGAAGAUCGAACUUAAUGAUCAAAAUUCAGAAGACAGCAACUGCAACAAGGGAAAGGAAAUAUGCAGCAGUGGAGGUGAUACUAAAAGCCCUUGGCCAUACAGGGUAAAGCUCACACCAGACAGUAUGCGAUGGGACAGCUUAAAGAUUUCUCCUUCAAGGGAAUUUGAGGAUAUCAUUUUGCAGAAUAUAUCUGCAGCUAGUCAUAAAGCUUUGGAAACUUGGCAGCCUAUUGAAAUAUCAAUUUAUGAUGUUGAUACUCAUGAAACUUAUAAAGUACACUUAGCAAAGAAAGAGUCCUUUUGGUUUGAACCAUUACCUGAUAUAGGCCAGAAACAGCAAAAAUCUGCAACUUCUGGUAUUAUAACUGCACCCAAGUCUUCAUAUGAAUCAAAGGAGAUGAUAGCAGAAAAUUUUGCUUAUUCUCUUCAACCUUUUAGACACAUUGUCAAGAAGAGAGGCCUUAGUUAUGAUCAAGAGAUAGGCUUAAACUGGUCCGGCAAUAGAAUUGUUAACAAUAUAGACUUCUCAGUUUUACAGGCACCAAGAUUUGGGUUGCAAGACAUCAGAUUUUGAGAGAUGAAAGAAGCAAACUUUCUUGGCUCAAGAGCAACAGAUGUUACAAGGUCGAUGCUAUGUGAUUGAUGACGAUUAAUAGGCAGUCCAUGUUUUACUUGCCUUGAUCCUUUGUCAUACAAUUUCCAAUUAUAGUUUAACUUGUAAGCUGAUUCAGGACAUCUAAGCAGUCAAACAGUGAAAGAGUGCAUUUUUUUUCUUCUUUUGUAUCAAUGAUCUCUCUAUCUAUUCGCACUCUUGUGGCAUUGUUGUCGUCUUUAUCCGCCUAUAGUCCAAACUAGUAACCUCUAGUAGGGAACAAUAAUAAUGAGAGUUGCAUACUCUUUUUUUUUGUUUAAUAGAGAAUUCACUUGAGUUAUAUAGAAAACAAAGUUCAAGCAAAAAUGUAAAAAAAUAAAAUAAAUCUAAAUUGAAAGUAAAGCCGAACCGCCACUCUACCUAGCCAAUAAGUAGCAGCUCCAUACUGACAAAAAAGCGCCAUUCAUAUUCACUUUUCUGCAAAUGAAAAAACACAAAUUAGCAAUCUGAAAAAUUGCUUCUAAAGAAUUGAAGAAAACAUGGACCAAGAAGAACCUAAAACCGUCGAGAAUCAAUCUUCUUCUUCUCCUUCAGGGGACUCGAAUCCAUGUCCCAUCUGUCUCGGUCCUUUCAUUCAGGAAUCCUAUCUUGAU
rnacentral:lncRNA from 1 species